rnacentral:rRNA from 1 species
GACGAACGCUGGCGGCGUGCUUAACACAUGCAAGUCGAACGGAAAGGCCCUGCUUUUGUGGGGUGCUCGAGUGGCGAACGGGUGAGUAACACGUUAGUAACCUGCCCUUGACUUUGGGAUAACUUCAGGCAACUGGUGCUAAUACCGGAUAGGAGCUCCUGCUGCAUGGUGGGGGUUGGAAAGUUUCGGCGGUUGGGGAUGGACUCGCGGCUUAUCAGCUUGUUGGUGGGGUAGUGGCUUACCAAGGCUUUGACGGGUAGCCGGCCUGGGAGGGUGACCGGCCACAUUGGGACUGGGAUACGGCCCAGACUCCUACGGGAGGCAGCAGUGGGGAAUAGUGCACAAUGGGCGGAAGCCUGAUGCAGCAACGCCGCGUGGGGGAUGACGGCCUUCGGGUUGUAAACCGCUUUCGCCUGUGACGAAGCGUGAGUGACGGUAAUGGGUAAAGAAGCACCGGCUAACUACGUG